UUAAGGUAAGUGUAACGUACAUUUGCAUUUUGCAACAGAAACAGCUUCUUAUAGAGUAUUGUUUUACAGGCUAAUCUUUUUUUAUGUAAUGUAUUCAAAUGUAAUUAUAAUUAGGAUUGGGAUAAUACAAAAAUAUACUUUUUGCUUAGUGAUAUCUAUUACAUUGUGACAGAAUUUGGUUUCUCAAUAAUUCUCAUCCUGAGAUUGAAUCCACAAAAUAAUUGAAGAAAUGGUUUCAGAUGAUUACGAACAAGCGCAGCUAUCUUUGGAGAGGUAAUGCACCUACUGAUAUCCCGUGAUAAGAACUUGGGAGAGAUUUAGUGAAAACCUGGAGAACGGCCACUUAGCUCACAAAUCUGAGCUGUUCACAUCAAGCUGAUAUUUGUGACAGCCAUUAUAGCUUUAAUCAUUUUCUCGAUUGAUCAAAGCACCACAGACUGCAUCGUUCGUCACCUCUGCCUUUAAGCGCGUUAUCACCUACUCCAAUAAGCCACCCCAAUAUCCUUAAUAAGCAAUAGAAGUUCUUAUCGACUGUGUAUGACUCAUUAAUAUCCAUGUUCUGUAUAAAUUUAUGUGAUAGGCCUACUGGUAUUAAUGUUGAUGUACCGUAAUGUUUUUUGCUCAUGUAUAAUUGAUAAUAAUACAUUAAAAAUAAAUAUAAUGUUAAAUUAUUA